GGUGAACGCUGGCGGCGUGCUUAACACAUGCAAGUCGAACGGAAACGCCCAAACUUGCUUGGGUACUCGAGUGGCGAACGGGUGCGUAACACGUAGACAAUCUGCUCUGCACUUCGGGAUAAGCCUGGGAAACUGGGCCUAAUACCGGAUCGGACCCCAUCUUGGAUGGUGUGGUGGAGAGCUUUUCGGGGUGGGAGGAUCUUGGGGCCUAUCAGCCUGUAGGUGGGGUACUGGCCUACCAAGGCGUCGACGGGGAGCCGGCCUGAGAGAGUGUAGGGCCACACCGGGCUUGAGAGAGAGGCCAGAGUCGGGCGGGAGGGAGCAUGGGCGAAUAUCGGACAAAGGCCGACAGCGUGAUGCAGCGAGGCCUCGUGGUGGUUGAGGGCUUUUGGUGUGUAAAAAACUCUGGCGGGGAAUGAAGCGUUUUUGUGACGGUACCUGGAGAAUAAGCACCGGCUAACUUCGUG
rnacentral:rRNA from 1 species